rnacentral:rRNA from 1 species
AGCAGCCGCGGUAAUUCCAGCUCCAAUAGCGUAUAUUAAAGUUGUUGCAGUUAAAAAGCUCGUAGUUGAAUUUCGGGAUCAAUAUGUCGGUCGUGCCUUCGGUACGUACUGGUAUCAUUGGUCUCUCCUUUCUGACGAACCAUGAUGUCAUUAAUUUGGUGUUAUGGGGAGUUAGGACUGUUACUUUGAAAAAAUUAGAGUGUUUAAAGCAGGCUUUAGCUUGAAUACAUUAGCAUGGAAUAAUGAAAUAGGACGUUCGAACCUAUUCUGUUGGUUUCUAGGAUCAACGUAAUGAUUAAUAGGGAUAGUUGGGGGCAUUAGUAUUCAAUUGUCAGAGGUGAAAUUCUUGGAUUUAUUGAAGACUAACUACUGCGAAAGCAUUUGCCAAGGAUGUUUUCAUUAAUCAAGAACGAAAGUUAGGGGAUCGAAGACGAUCAGAUACCGUCGUAGUCUUAACCAUAAACUAUGCCGACUAGGGAUCGGAUGAUGUUAAUUUUUAAUAACUUCAUUCGGCGCCUUA